CGGCGAUGCGCGGAAAGACAGAAACAUGGAAACGUCUGUUGGGGCUUGUCGAGAACUUCGGUGCCCACGCUCACGGGUCGUAACAGAUAAUGUGGCACUGGGGUUUAAAAGAGCGCAGGGGACAUGAUUGCGUGUUCUUCAGGGGCUGUGUCCUGCUGUAUAUUCCCACGGUGCUUGGUACAGCGCAGCUCCAAACUCAAUCAGGGCCUCUGUGUGCUGCAGUUGAAUUAAUAGUAAACAAUAAAACCAAUGUACGUGCUGAAGUUGUGCUGUGAGAGAGAAACUGAAAAUAAGGCUUUCAGUGGAAGCUGCCUGGACUAGUUGCUAUUCAUGCUGUUAUUUCUCCUGCUCCAUUUACUGCUGCUCUGGCACAUGGAUGAGCACCGUGAGGACCAGCUGUGUCUCUGGGAGAUGUUGGAUAGCUUAGACCACAUCAGAAACUUGCCAGCAUGGGAGCUGGUGCUGCACAUCUUCUGGGCAGGAGUGAAGCAAAGUUGAGGUGAAACCUGAACAGGGAAGGAGCUGAGAGACAGGAGAUAAAUUAUUCACUCUCCUUUCAUCGACACCAGGAAAUCAGACGGGACCCGGCUGAAGAAGCUCUCUCAGACUUCUCUGGAUUGGGAACUGCACAGCACCCUUACAGGAUAACCGAUGUGCUUCACAGCUCUGGCUGAAACAUCCCCUGAAGCAGCUCUGAUCUUCAGCCAGAAAUCUUGCAUCUCUCAGCCGAGGAGAGGAAGGAGGACCACCCUAAAUGGUGGACCCAUGUCUGAGGGGCAGGAGAGGGUAAGAGGGCUGAGCAGAGCUGCCCACUUUGCCCAGCUGCCUGCCCAGUUAAAGAUCAGGUGAGGAAGUGUCAAGAAAAUGAUGCUGUGAGACAUGGUCCCUUCAAGGACCACCACAGGUUAGCAUAGGACAUACAAAGUGCUUACCCAACUUUUCGCAUCACUGGAGAUGCAGGACAUACACUUGUCAGCUGGGAGAGAAGAGAAAAGAGAAGAGGAGUCAUGCCUUUGGAGGAACAACAACUGGCCGCUCGCUGUAAUCAUCAGGGUGUCACGUUGCCUCUGGGUCAGCCUGAGAGCCUCAGCUCAAGAAAGGUGGGCUGAACCCAGGCUUCAGAUAACAGGCAUGGCAUCAGGCAUCCAGGUGGCUGGUAAACCUCAGAGCCUGGCCAGCUCAGCUGAUGGCCACAUCCUGCUACCUACAGCCCCUCUCUGGGUUAAGGAUGCAGAACAUGAGCAAAGCAAGGAAGCCAAUACUGGGUGGUUGAGAUGGUAUUAGAUGCACCCACGAGGCAAUCUGUGGAAAAUAACUAAACUGCUGAAUAGUAAGAUCCAGCCUCACGACAUCCAGAGGCUGAAUAAACUGGGAAUCAGUAGAUAAAUUUGUCUUAUUAUAAGAAACAUGGGCCUUAAUCCACCACAGCCUGUGGUACAAAAGGGGAUGCACACUGAAGGCCACAACAACAGUGGAACCCAGAGCUGGGUGGUCUGGAGCUUCUUACACAUGGGGCACCCAAAGUUUGCCCGCACUGUCUCCUAGGGCUUACAGAUGAGGAUGUGUUUGACAAACACAACACCAUGCGGAGAUUGGUGCCCCCUGGGAUGACUCCUGCCCUGCCUCCUCCCUCCCUGCCAGGGACCGUGGCACCACAACCAUCAGAAUUCCCACUGCGGGGAUGCUGACCUGUAACAUGCAAUGGUAGUGCUGCACAUUACAGUUAUAUCAAGUAACUGCAAACAUCAAUUAAACAACAUCAACCUAUAGA